AGUGAACGCUGGCGGUAGGCCUAACACAUGCAAGUCGAACGGCAGCACAGUAAGAGCUUGCUCUUACGGGUGGCGAGUGGCGGACGGGUGCGGAAUACAUCGGAAUCUACUUUUUCGUGGGGGAUAACGUAGGGAAACUUACGCUAAUACCGCAUACGACCUACGGGUGAAAGCAGGGGAUCUUCGGACCUUGCGCGAUUGUAUGAGCCGAUGUCGGAUUAGCUAGUUGGCGGGGUAAAGGCCCACCAAGGCGACGAUCCGUAGCUGGUCUGAGAGGAUGAUCAGCCACACUGGAACUGAGACACGGUCCAGACUCCUACGGGAGGCAGCAGUGGGGAAUAUUGGACAAUGGGCGCAAGCCUGAUCCAGCCAUACCGCGUGGGUGAAGAAGGCCUUCGGGUUGUAAAGCCCUUUUGUUGGGAAAGAAAAGCAGCAGGUUAAUACCCCGCUGUUCUGACGGUACCCAAAGAAUAAGCACCGGCUAACUUCGUG
rnacentral:rRNA from 1 species